UACGGAAGGCAGCAGUGGGGAAUAUUGCACAAUGGGCGAAAGCCUGAUGCAGCUAUGCCGCGUGUAUGAAGAAGGCCUUAGGGUUGUAAAGUACUUUCAUCGGGGAGGAAAAAACAAAACUAAUAAUUUUAUUUCUUGACGUUACCCGAAAAAGAAGCACCGGCUAACUCCGUGCCAGCAGCCGCGGUAAUACGGAGGGUGCUAGCGUUAAUCAGAAUUACUGGGCGUAAAGAGCACGUAGGUGGUUUUUUAAGUCAGAUGUGAAAUCCCUGGGCUUAACCUGGAACUGCAUUUUGAAACUGAAAUACUAGAGUAUCGUAGAGGGAGGUAGAAUUCUAGGUGUAGCGGUGAAAUGCGUAGAUAUCUGGAGGAAUACCUGUGGCGAAAGCGGCCUCCUAAACGAAUACUGACACUGAGGUGCGAAAAGCGUGGGGAGCGAAACAGGGAUUAGGAUA
rnacentral:rRNA from 1 species